UUCCGGUUGAUCCUGCCGGACCUGACUGCUAUCGGAUUGAUACUAAGCCAUGCGAGUCAUUGUAGCAAUACAAGGCAGACGGCUCAGUAACGCGUAGUCAACCUAACCUAUGGACGGGAAUAACCUCGGGAAACUGAGAAUAAUGCCCGAUAGAACACUAUACCUGGAAUGGUUUGUGUUCCAAAUGAUUUAUCGCCGUAGGAUGGGACUGCGGCCUAUCAGUUUGUUGGUGAGGUAAUGGCCCACCAAGACUAUUACAGGUACGGGCUCUGAGAGGAGUAGCCCGGAGAUGGGUACUGAGACACGGACCCAGGCCCUAUGGGGCGCAGCAGGCGAGAAAACUUUGCAAUGUGCGAAAGCACGACAAGGCUAAUCCGAGUGGUUUCUGCUAAAGGAACCUUUUGUCGGUCCUAGAAACACCGAUGAAUAAGGGGUGGGCAAGUUCUGGUGUCAGCCGCCGCGGUAAAACCAGCACCUCAAGUGGUCAGGAUGAUUAUUGGGCCUAAAGCAUCCGUAGCCGGCGCUAUAAGUUUUCGGUUAAAUCUGUACGCUCAACGUACAGGCUGCCGGGAAUACUGUAGCGCUAGGGAGUGGGAGAGGUAGACGGUACUCGGUAGGAAGGGGUAAAAUCCUUUGAUCUAUUGAUGACCACCUGUGGCGAAGGCGGUCUACCAGAACACGUCCGACGGUGAGGGAUGAAAGCUGGGGGAGCAAACCGGAUUAGAUACCCGGGUAGUCCCAGCUGUAAACUAUGCAAACUCAGUGAUGCAUUGGCUUGUGGCCAAUGCAGUGCUGCAGGGAAGCCGUUAAGUUUGCCGCCUGGGAAGUACGUACGCAAGUAUGAAACUUAAAGGAAUUGGCGGGGGAGCACCACAAGGGGUGAAGCCUGCGGUUCAAUUGGAGUCAACGCCGGG
rnacentral:rRNA from 1 species